rnacentral:lncRNA from 10 species
GGCCCAGGCCGCGGCCGCGCCGCAUCCGCUGGUUGUCCACCUUGCCUUGCCCCAGGGUGCAAUACCUGCCUUGCGUCGCCCGUGCCGCUCCAGCCACCGUCAAAUCCGGGUAGCGACCCGGGGCGUUUGCAGCGGUGCCGAGGAAGAGGACGGGAACGGUGUUACGAUUGCCUGCGUUUAGGAGGUGGCUGCGUUGUGGGAAAAGCUAUCAAGGAAGAAAUUGCCAAACCAUGUCUUUUUUUCUGUUUUCAGAGUAGUUCACAACAGAUCUGAGUGUUUUAAUUAAGCAUGGAAUACAGAAAACAACAAAAAACUUAAGCUUUAAUUUCAUCUGGAAUUCCACAGAACCUUCGGCUCGCGUGCUUCUGAGCUGCUGUGGAUGGCCUCGGCUCUCUGGACUGUCCUUCCGAGUAGGAUGUCACUGAGAUCCCUCAAAUGGAGCCUCCUGCUGCUGUCACUCCUGAGUUUCUUUGUGAUGUGGUACCUCAGCCUUCCCCACUACAAUGUGAUAGAACGCGUGAACUGGAUGUACUUCUAUGAG